rnacentral:rRNA from 1 species
CCUACGGGCGGCAGCAGUGGGGAAUAUUGCACAAUGGGCGCAAGCCUGAUGCAGCCAUGCCGCGUGUGUGAAGAAGGCCUUCGGGUUGUAAAGCACUUUCAGCGGGGAGGAAGGCGUUAAGGUUAAUAACCUUGGCGAUUGACGUUACCCGCAGAAGAAGCACCGGCUAACUCCGUGCCAGCAGCCGCGGUAAUACGGAAGGUGCAAGCGUUAAUCGGAAUUACUGGGCGUAAAGCGCACGCAGGCGGUCUGUCAAGUCGGAUGUGAAAUCCCCGGGCUCAACCUGGGAACUGCAUUCGAAACUGGCAGGCUAGAGUCUUGUAGAGGGGGGUAGAAUUCCAGGUGUAGCGGUGAAAUGCGUAGAGAUCUGGAGGAAUACCGGUGGCGAAGGCGGCCCCCUGGACAAAGACUGACGCUCAGGUGCGAAAGCGUGGGGAGCAAACAGGAUUAGAUACCCCGGUAGUC